UUUGCUGUUUAGAUCUAAAUAUGGAUUGCAUUCAAAUAUCUUCCAAUACCUUUGUCCGCAUAUUAAUUAUUCAUGGGAUCUCAGAAUGGAGAAAAAGAAGAGACACCAGAGAGGCUCUGCGCCCAUUUGAGUUUCCAGAUGCGUUCAGAACCACGGGACACGCGGAAAGCUGGAGGAAAACAAGUUUAGCCCCUAUUCAGUCCUGAAUUCUGCAUGAGUCUCAUGAUCAUGUGAAUUUCUUCUUAUAUCUGCUCCAUCUGCUUCAAGGUAAUAAUCAGAAACCAAACUAAAGGACCUCCAAAGUCUGAAGCGCGAUGAUGGAUGUCUAGCAGUUGUCGGGUCCAAAUCAGAGUCCAGGACAGUACAGAAAAUGGGACACAGAUGGGAUGUUUGUCCUGCCGCCUGAAAGAAAC